rnacentral:rRNA from 1 species
CGUAGGUAACCUGCCUGGUAGCGGGGGGUAACUAUUGGAAACGAUAGCUAAUACCGCAUAGGAGUAGAUGUUGCAUGACAUUUGCUUAAAAGGUGCAAUUGCAUCACUACCAGAUGGACCUGCGUUGUAUUAGCUAGUUGGUGGGGUAACGGCUCACCAAGGCGACGAUACAUAGCCGACCUGAGAGGGUGAUCGGCCACACUGGGACUGAGACACGGCCCAG